UACAGAGGGUGCUAGCGUUGUUCGGAAUUAUUGGGCGUAAAGGGCGCGUAGGCGGCCCUGUGUGUCGGGUGUGAAAGCCCACCUCUUAAAGGUGGAAUUGCAUUCGAAACUACAGGGCUGGAGUGUCGGAGAGGAUGGCGGAAUUCCUGGUGUAGAGGUGAAAUUCGUAGAUAUCAGGAUGAACACCGGUGGCGAAGGCGGCCAUCUGGACGACAACUGACGCUGAGGCGCGAAAGCGUGGGGAUCAAACAGG
rnacentral:rRNA from 1 species